AAAUGCGUUCCCUGCCCGCUAGGCAGUCAAGCAAACAUAUAAAAUGCGUUCCCUGCCCGCUAGGCAGUCAAGCAAACAUAAACUGCGUUCCCUGCCCGCUAGGCAGUCAAGCAAACAUAAACUGCGUUCCCUGCCCGCUAGGCAGUCAAGCAAACAUAAACUGCGUUCCCUGCCCGCUAGGCAGUCAAGCAAACAUAUAAAAUGCGUUCCCUGCCCGCUAGGCAGUCAAGCAAACAUAUAAAAUGCGUUCCCUGCCCGCUAGGCAGUCAAGCAAACAUAAACUGCGUUCCCUGCCCGCUAGGCAGUCAAGCAAACAUAAACUGCGUUCCCUGCCCGCUAGGCAGUCAAGCAAACAUAUAAAAUGCGUUCCCUGCCCGCUAGGCAGUCAAGCAAACAUAAAAUGCGUUCCCUGCCCGCUAGGCAGUCAAGCAAACAUAAACUGCGUUCCCUGCCCGCUAGGCAGUCAAGCAAACAUGUCUUAAAGGUAUAAUAAACACAC